rnacentral:tRNA from 1 species
CCCUGGUUAGCUCAGUUGAUAGAGCGCUCCACCUAUAAUGGAGAGGUCCCGGGUUCGAUACCCGGACCAGGCG